rnacentral:rRNA from 1 species
GAGGAGCCCGCGUCCCAUCAGGUAGUUGGUGAGGUAAUGGCUCACCAAGCCGAUGACGGGUAGCUGUUCUGAGAGGAAGAUCAGCCACACUGGCACUGAGAUACGGGCCAGACUCCUACGGGAGGCAGCAGUGAGGAAUAUUGCGCAAUGGACGAAAGUCUGACGCAGCGACGCCGCGUGAGCGAUGAAGGCCUUCGGGUCGUAAAGCUCUUUUGGCAGGGACGAGUGAGGACGGUACCUGUCGAAUAAGUCUCGGCUAACUACGUGCCAGCAGCCGCGGUAAAACGUAGGAGGCGAGCGUUAUCCGGAUUCAUUGGGCGUAAAGCGUGCGUAGGCGGUUGGGUAAGUCGGACGUUAAAGCCCCUGGCUCAACUGGGGGAGGUCGUUCGAUACUGCUUGGCUUGAGGGUGAAAGAGGAAAGCGGAAUUCCCGGUGUAGCGGUGGAAUGCGUAGAGAUCGGGAGGAACACCAGUGGCGAAAGCGGCUUUCUGGUUCAUUACUGACGCUGAGUGCACGAAAGCGUGGGGAGCAAACGGGAUUAGAU